GAUGAACGCUGGCGGCGUGCCUAAUACAUGCAAGUCGAGCGAACAGACGAGGAGCUUGCUUUUCUGACGUUAGCGGCGGACGGGUGAGUAACACGUGGAUAACCUACCUAUAAGACUGGGAUAACUUCGGGAAACCGGAGCUAAUACCGGAUAAUAUUUUGAACCGCAUGGUUCAAUAGUGAAAGACGGUCUUGCUGUCACUUAUAGAUGGAUCCGCGCUGCAUUAGCUAGUUGGUAAGGUAACGGCUUACCAAGGCAACGAUGCGUAGCCGACCUGAGAGGGUGAUCGGCCACACUGGAACUGAGACACGGUCCAGACUCCUACGGGAGGCAGCAGUAGGGAAUCUUCCGCAAUGGGCGAAAGCCUGACGGAGCAACGCCGCGUGAGUGAUGAAGGUCUUCGGAUCGUAAAACUCUGUUAUUAGGGAAGAACAGAUGUGUAAGUAACUGUGCACGUCUUGACGGUACCUAAUCAGAAAGCCACGGCUAACUACGUG
rnacentral:rRNA from 1 species